UUCUUAACCCCUUUUUUUUUUUUUGGAAGAAGAAUGGAAAGAUGGAGUAGGAGCUUUGACUUGCCACACUUGCAAUGGAUCUAGCAUUCAAGGUGAAAAAAGUGGCAAGAGUGGAUGGUAGAGACCCAGAAAGGGUGGUUUCUUCAAUAAGGAAUGUGCCACAACCUGAUCUUGCUAUUGGGGGCAUUUCUUUAUUGAUGGGUAUAGGUAAAAAGUCUUGAAGGAUCACGCUAGGAAAAGAAGAAGGGUUGGUAGUGGGAGUGAUCGUAGGGUGAUCAUUUAGAGAAGUUAGGCUAAUAUUUCCCAACACUUCUUCCAUAGAUAUUUUAAGAUUAUUAUGGUGAUCUCAAGGCUUUGCAGCUGCUUUUGUUGUUGUUUCUACAUGUUAGUGCCCACAUUAGCAAUAUAAAGGUGAAAAUAGAGAGAAGAUAUGUUAAAUUUCUACUAUUACUAUAUAGAG
rnacentral:lncRNA from 1 species